UAGUUUAUAUUAAAGGUAAGUUCUGCCCUAUGAUUUAAUUUAAAUGGCUGCAGUAUUUUGACUGUGCAAAGGUAGCAUAAUAAUUAGUCAUUUAAUUGUUGACUUGUAUGAAUGAUUAUAUGAGAAAUAGUUUUUAUUUAUAUUAAAAGUAAAAUUUUAUUUUUAGGUAAAAAAGCUUAAUUAUUAUUUAGGGACGAUAAGACCCUAUAGAACUUUAUUAUUUUCUGCAUAUAAAAAACAAGUAAUUAUUUUUAAAUAUAUUUAAAAUAAUUUAGUUGGGGCGACUGGUAAAUUUUUGUACUUUACUUUUUUAUUUCAUUUUUUUAUGAUUUUAUGAUCCUAUAUUUGUUUAGAUUAAAAGUUUUAGUUACCUUAGGGAUAACAGCGUAAUUUUAAUGGGGAGUCCAUAUUUAUAUUGAAGUUUGCGACCUCGAUGUUGAAUUAAGAUAAGUUUAGGGGGUAG
rnacentral:rRNA from 1 species